rnacentral:pre_miRNA from 1 species
AAAGACUCAAUUCUUGGGUUUCCGUGUCCAAUGUUUGACCAACCGUCUUAUAUGAAAUUUUUUAUGAUUAAUAUUUUCAUUAUUGUUAGAUGAUAAAACAUGAAUAAUACUUUAUGCAUGACUUAUCUUUUUAAAUUUUUUCAUAUUUUUUUCAAAUAAGACGGACGGUCAAACAUUAAACACGGAAACUCAGGAAUUGAGUUUUU